rnacentral:misc_RNA from 1 species
AACGUACGCUGGCGGCACGCCUAACACAUGCAAGUCGAACGAAGUAGCAAUACUUAGUGGCAGACGGGUGAGUAACAUGUAGGUAUCUGCCCUUUGGCCUGGAAUAACACGAGGAAACUUGUGCUAAUACCGGAUAAGUCUUUACGGAGAAAGCUUUAUGCACCAUUGGAUGAGCCUGCACUUGAUUAGUCUGUUGGUGGGGUAAUGGCCUACCAAGACUGUGAUCAAUAGCUGAUUUGAGAGGAUGAUCAGCCACAUUGGGACUGAGACACGGCCCAAACUCCUACGGGAGGCAGCAGUGGGGAAUCUUGCACAAUGGAGGAAACUCUGAUGCAGUGAUGCCGCGUGAGUGAAGAAGGCCCUUGGGUUGUAAAGCUCUUUCGUCGGGGAAGAAAAUGACUGUACCCGAAUAAGAAGGUCCGGCUAACUUCGUGCCAGCAGCCGCGGUAAUACGAAGGGACCUAGCGUAGUUCGGAAUUACUGGGCUUAAAGAGUUCGUAGGUGGUUGAAAAAGUUAGUGGUGAAAUCCCAGAGCUUAACUCUGGAACUGCCAUUAAAACUUUUCAGCUAGAGUAUGAUAGAGGAAAGCAGAAUUUCUAGUGUAGAGGUGAAAUUCGUAGAUAUUAGAAAGAAUACCAAUUGCGAAGGCAGCUUUCUGGAUCAUUACUGACACUGAGGAACGAAAGCAUGGGUAGCGAAGAGGAUUAGAUACCCUCGUAGUCCAUGCCGUAAACGAUGUGUGUUAGACGUUGGAAAUUUAUUUUCAGUGUCGCAGCGAAAGCAAUAAACACACCGCCUGGGGAGUACGACCGCAAGGUUAAAACUCAAAUGAAUUGACGGGGACCCGCACAAGUAGUGGAGCAUGUGGUUUAAUUCGAAGAUACGCGCAGAACCUUACCAACACUUGACAUGUUCGUCGCGACUCUAAGAGAUUAGAGUUUUCGGUUCGGCCGGACGAAACACAGGUGCUGCAUGGCUGUCGUCAGCUCGUGUCGUGAGAUGUUGGGUUAAGUCCCGCAACGAGCGCAACCCUCACUUUUAGUUGCCAUCAUUAAGUUGGGCACUCUGAAAGAACUGCCAGUGAUAAGCUGGAGGAAGGUGGGGAUGACGUCAAGUCCUCAUGGCCCUUACCCUUGACCACGGUAUAGUCAGCGACUGGGGUGAAGUCGUAACAAGGUAGCCGUAGGGGAACCUGCGGCUGGAUUACCUCCUUUCUAAGGAUGAAUGAAAGUUAAAUUUCAUUCUAAAUAAUAUACAUCGGUAAUGUUGACCGUCCUCAUUUCUCUUCUUAAAGUAAUGUUUCCUUCUUGUAGGGCCGGUAGCUCAGUUGGUUAGAGCACACCCUUGAUAAGGGUGGGGUCGAAAGUUCGAGUCUUUCUCGGCCCACCAUACUUAACUGGGGGAUUAGCUCAGCUGGGAGAGCGCCUGAUUUGCAUUCAGGAGGUCAGCGGUUCGAUCCCGCUAUCCUCCACCAGGAAACAUUUAGUUAUAAAAACUGUAAAUAAUUUUAAUAAUUAAUAUCAAUAUCUAUAUCCGAACAUUAGUAAUGUUAUUAGCUAAUGUUCAAAAUAAAAAUUUGAUCACAACAUAGAUAAUUUUUCUUUUAAAAAAGAAUUUUUUUCUGUGCAUAAAUCAAGCGUUUAAGGGCGUGUAGUGGAUGCCUUGGCACUGAAAGCCGAUGAAGGACGUGAUAUACUGCGAUAAGUUUCGGGGAGCUGUAUGUAAGUUUUGAUCCGAAAAUUU